ACCCUUUAAUGUUUGAUGUUCUAACGUGGACCCGUGAUCCGGGUUGCGGACAGUGUCUGGUGGGUAGUUUGACUGGGGCGGUCUCCUCCUAAAGAGUAACGGAGGAGCACGAAGGUUGGCUAAUCCUGGUCGGACAUCAGGAGGUUAGUGCAAUGGCAUAAGCCAGCUUGACUGCGAGCGUGACGGCGCGAGCAGGUGCGAAAGCAGGUCAUAGUGAUCCGGUGGUUCUGAAUGGAAGGGCCAUCGCUCAACGGAUAAAAGGUACUCCGGGGAUAACAGGCUGAUACCGCCCAAGAGUUCAUAUCGACGGCGGUGUUUGGCACCUCGAUGUCGGCUCAUCACAUCCUGGGGCUGAAGUAGGUCCCAAGGGUAUGGCUGUUCGCCAUUUAAAGUGGUACGCGAGCUGGGUUUAGAACGUCGUGAGACAGUUCGGUCCCUAUCUGCCGUGGGCGCUGGAGAACUGAGGGGGGCUGCUCCUAGUACGAGAGGACCGGAGUGGACGCAUCACUGGUGUUCGGGUUGUCAUGCCAAUGGCACUGCCCGGUAGCUAAAUGCGGAAGAGAUAAGUGCUGAAAGCAUCUAAGCACGAAACUUGCCCCGAGAUGAGUUCUCCCUGAGACUUAAAGUCUCCUGAAGGAACGUUGAAGACGACGACGUUGAUAGGCCGGGUGUGUAAGCGCAGCGAUGCGUUGAGCUAACCGGUACUAAUGAACCGUGAGGCU
rnacentral:rRNA from 1 species